rnacentral:rRNA from 1 species
AUGAACGCUGGCGGCGUGCCUAAUACCUGCAAGUCGCGCGAACAGACGAGGAGCUUGCUCCUCUGACGUUAGCGGCGGACGGGUGAGUAACACGUGGAUAACCUACCUAUAAGACUGGGAUAACUUCGGGAAACCGGAGCUAAUACCGGAUAAUAUAUUGAACCGCAUGGUUCAAUAGUGAAAGACGGUUUUGCUGUCACUUAUAGAUGGAUCCGCGCCGCAUUAGCUAGUUGGUAAGGUAACGGCUUACCAAGGCGACGAUGCGUAGCCGACCUGAGAGGGUGAUCGGCCACACUGGAACUGAGACACGGUCCAGACUCCUACGGGAGGCAGCAGUAGGGAAUCUUCCGCAUUGGGCGAAAGCCUGACGGAGCAACGCCGCGUGAGUGAUGAAGGUCUUCGGAUCGUAAAACUCUGUUAUUAGGGAAGAACAAAUGUGUAAGUAACUAUGCACGUCUUGACGGUACCUAAUCAGAAAGCCACGGCUAACUACGUG